UACGUAGGGUGCGAGCGUUGUCCGGAAUUAUUGGGCGUAAAGGGCUCGUAGGCGGUUUGUCGCGUCGGGAGUGAAAACCUCGGGCUUAACUCGGGGCUUGCUUUCGAUACGGGCAGACUGGAGGUAUGCAGGGGAGAACGGAAUUCCUGGUGUAGCGGUGAAAUGCGUAGAUAUCUGGAGGAACACCGGUGGCGAAGGCGGCAUCCUGGACCAAUACUGACACUGAGGAGCGAAAGCCAGGGGAGCAAACGGG
rnacentral:rRNA from 1 species